AACCUCUGAACUGUCUCAGCCUCCUCCCACACAGUGUAACUCAUAUUUCAUUGAUUUCUGUUUCUCCUAAAAUGACAUCUGAGGGGAUUUCCCAGGCCCCAAGUGAAUGUCUCGUUGUUUCCAUCAAGGAUAUGAUAUCUACUACAUUACAUUUGUUGAUGUCCCACCAUCACACAGAGAUGUCUAUUAUUCUAACCGAUACCAUAAAGAAAAAUGAUGGUGGAUAGAUGAGGUCAAUUGCAGCAGAGAGAUGAAGUUUGAGAGCAAGCCUGGCCAUCUGUCUCAUCACUUUCUCAGGUUCCAAAAAGGUGGCAGGAAGUUUCAAGG